rnacentral:rRNA from 1 species
UACGUAGGGUGCAAGCGUUAAUCGGAAUUACUGGGCGUAAAGCGUGCGCAGGCGGCUUUGCAAGACAGAUGUGAAAUCCCCGGGCUUAACCUGGGAACUGCAUUUGUGACUGCAUGGCUAGAGUGCGGCAGAGGGGGAUGGAAUUCCGCGUGUAGCAGUGAAAUUCGUAGAUAUCAGGAAGAACACCCGUGGCGAAGGCGGCUCUCUGGGACGGUACUGGACGC